AGAGUUUGAUCCUGGCUCAGGACGAACGCUGGCGGCGUGCCUAACACAUGCAAGUCUGGGAGAAUUGGGUAGCAAUAUCCAUAGUAAACCGGCGCACGGGUGAGUAAUAUAUAGGUAAUUUCCCUUUUGUUUUGGAAUAACCCCGCGAAAGCGGGGCUAAUACCGAAUGAUGCAGCGGCUCCGCAUGGAGAUGUUGUUAAAGCUUCGGCGACAAAAGAUAAGCCUGUAUCCCAUUAGAUAGUUGGCGAGGUAACGGCUCACCAAGUCUGCGAUGGGUAGCUGAUCUGAGAGGAUGAUCAGCCACACUGGAACUGAGACACGGUCCAGACUCCUACGGGAGGCAGCAGUGAGGAAUAUUGCGCAAUGGAGGAAACUCUGACGCAGCGACGCCGCGUGAAGGAUGAAGGCCCUCUGGGUUGUAAACUUCUGUAGAGUGGGAAGAAUUUCCGCCUCUGGCGGAUUGACGGUACCACUAAAGUAAGGGUCGGCUAACUACGUGCCAGCAGCCGCGGUAAUACGUAGGACCCGAGCGUUGUCCGGAAUCACUGGGUGUAAAGGGAGCGCAGGCGGACUUUCAAGUCGAUGGUGAAAUCUUACGGCUCAACCGUAAAACUGCCGUCGAUACUGCUUGUCUUGAGUGUGAAAGAGGGUGGCAGAAUUCAUGGUGUAGCGGUGAAAUGCGUAGAUAUCAUGAAGAAUACCGGUUGCGAAGGCGGCCACCUGGUUCAUUACUGACGCUCAUGCUCGAAAGCGUGGGGAUCAGACAGGAUUAGAUACCCUGGUAGUCCACGCCCUAAACGAUGAAUACUCGGUGUUGGGUCGCAAGACUCAGCGCCUAAGCUAACGCAUUAAGUAUUCCACCUGGGAAGUACGAUCGCAAGGUUGAAACUCAAAGGAAUUGACGG
rnacentral:rRNA from 1 species